GUGCUCGCUUCAGCAGCACAUAUACUAAAAUUGGAACGAUACAGAGAAGAUUAGCAUGGCCCCUGCACAAGGAUGAUGUGCAAAUUCGUGAAGCAUUCCAUAUUUUU
rnacentral:snRNA from 1 species